rnacentral:rRNA from 1 species
CAGGAUGAACGCUGGCGGCGUGCCUAACACAUGCAAGUCGAACGAAGCGCCUGCGGCGGACCCCUCCGGGGGAAAGCCGCGGGGGACUGAGUGGCGGACGGGUGAGCAACGCGUGGGCAACCUGCCCCGUACCGGGGGACAACAGCCGGAAACGGCUGCUAAUACCGCAUAUUCCCGCGGGGCCGCAUGGCCCUGCGGGGAAAGCUCCGGCAGUACGGGAUGGGCCCGCGUCUGAUUAGCUUGUUGGCGGGGUAACGGCCCACCAAGGCUGCGAUCAGUAGCCGGCCUGAGAGGGCGGCCGGCCACAUUGGGACUGAGACACGGCCCAGACUCCUGCGGGAGGCAGCAGUGGGGGAUAUUGCACAAUGGGGGGAACCCUGAUGCAGCGACGCCGCGUGAACGAAGAAAUAUUUCGGUAUGUAAAGUUCUAUCAGCAGGGAAGAAAAUGACAGUACCUGACCAAGAAGCCCCGGCUAACUACGUGCCAGCAGCCGCGGUAAUACGUAGGGGGCGAGCGUUAUCCGGAUUCACUGGGCGUAAAGGGAGCGCAGGCGGCACGGCAAGUCCGGUGUGAAAGCCCGGGGCCCAACCCCGGGACUGCACUGGAAACUGCCGGGCUGGAGUGUCGGAGGGGCAGGCGGAAUUCCUAGUGUAGCGGUGAAAUGCGUAGAUAUUAGGAGGAACACCGGUGGCGAAGGCGGCCUGCUGGACGACGACUGACGCUGAGGCUCGAAAGCGUGGGGAGCAAACAGGAUUAGAUACCCUGGUAGUCCACGCCGUAAAC